rnacentral:rRNA from 1 species
AUUGAACGCUGGCGGCAGGCCUAAUACAUGCAUGUCGAACGCAGUGGGGACGGGUGAGUAACACGUGGGUAACCUCCCAUCAGAGGGGAUAACACUUGGAAACAGGUGCUAAACCGCUACUGAUGGAUGAACCCGCGGUGCAUUAGCUUGUUGGUGAGGUAACGGAUCACCAAGGCCACGAUGCAUAGCCGACCUGAUAGGGUGAGCGGCCACACUGAGACUGAGAAACGGCCCAGAAUCCUACGGGAGGCAGCAGUAGGGAAUCUUCGGCAAUGGACGAAAGUCUGACCGAGCAACGCCGCGUGAGUGAAGAAGUUUUUCGGAUCGUAAAACUCUGUUGUUAGAGAAGCGGUAUCUAACCAGAAAGCCACGGCUAACUACGUGCCAGCAGCCGCGGUAAUAC